rnacentral:rRNA from 1 species
GACGAACGCUGGCGGCGUGCCUAAUACAUGCAAGUCGAACGCAUUUUCUUUCACCGUAGCUUGCUACACCGAAAGAAAAUGAGUGGCGAACGGGUGAGUAACACGUGGGUAACCUGCCCAUCAGCGGGGGAUAACACUUGGAAACAGGUGCUAAUACCGCAUAAUUCCAUUUACUGCAUGGUAGAUGGAUGAAAGGCGCUUUUGCGUCACUGAUGGAUGGACCCGCGGUGCAUUAGCUAGUUGGUGGGGUAACGGCCUACCAAGGCUGCGAUGCAUAGCCGACCUGAGAGGGUGAUCGGCCACACUGGGACUGAGACACGGCCCAGACUCCUACGGGAGGCAGCAGUAGGGAAUCUUCGGCAAUGGACGCAGGUCUGACCGAGCAACGCCGCGUGAGUGAAGAAGGUUUUCGGAUCGUAAAACUCUGUUGUUAGAAAAGAACAAGGAUGAGAGUGGAAAGUUCAUCCCUUGACGGUAGCUAACCAGAAAGCCACGGCUAACUACGUG